UACGUAGGGUGCAAGCGUUGUCCGGAAUUAUUGGGCGUAAAGAGCUCGUAGGCGGUCUGUCGCGUCUGCUGUGAAAACUCGGGGCUUAACCCCGGGCCUGCAGUGGGUACGGGCAGACUAGAGUGCGGUAGGGGAGACUGGAAUUUACGGUGUAGCAGUGAAAUGCGUAGAUAUCGUAAGGAAGACCAGUGGCGAAGGCGAAUCUCUGGACAGUUACUGACACUGAGGCACGAAGGCCAGGGGAGCAAACGGG
rnacentral:rRNA from 1 species